CCUACGGGGGUCAGCAGUGAGGAAUAUUGGUCAAUGGGCGCGAGCCUGAACCAGCCAAGUAGCGUGAAGGAUGACUGCCCUACGGUUUGUAAACUUCUUUUAUAAAGGAAUAAAGUGAGGCACGUGUGCCUUUUUGUAUUUACUUUAUGAAUAAGGAUCGGCUAACUCCCGGCCAGCACCCGCGGUAAUACGGAGGAUCCGAGCGUUAUCCGGAUUUAUUGGGUUCAAAGGGAGCGUAGAUGGGUUGUUAAGUCAGUUGUGAAAGUUUGGGGCUCAACCGUAAAAUUGCAAUUGAUACUGGCAGCCUUGAGUACAGUUGAGGUAGGCGGAAUUCGUGGUGUAGCGGUGAAAUGCUUAGAUAUCACGAAGAACACCGAUUGCGAAGGCAGCCUACUAAACUGCCACUGACAUUGAUGCUCGAAAGUGUGGGUAUCAAACAGGAUUAGAUACCCGUGUAGUC
rnacentral:rRNA from 1 species